UACGGAGGGAGCUAGCGUUGUUCGGAAUUACUGGGCGUAAAGCGCACGUAGGCGGCUUUGUAAGUUAGAGGUGAAAGCCCGGGGCUCAACUCCGGAACUGCCUUUAAAACUGCAUCGCUUGAAUCCAGGAGAGGUGAGUGGAAUUCCGAGUGUAGAGGUGAAAUUCGUAGAUAUUCGGAAGAACACCAGUGGCGAAGGCGACUCACUGGACAUGUAUUGACGCUGAGGUGCGAAAGCGUGGGGAGCAAACAGG
rnacentral:rRNA from 1 species